CCUACGGGUGGCUGCAGUAGGGAAUAUUGCUCAAUGGGGGAAACCCUGAUGCAGCAACGCCGCGUGGAGGAUGAAGGUUUUCGGUUUGUAAACUCCUUUUGUUAGAGAAGAUAAUGACGGUAUCUAACGAAUAAGCACCGGCUAACUCCGUGCCAGCAGCCGCGGUAAUACGGAGGGGGCAAGCGUUACCCGGAUUCACUGGGUGUAAAGGGCGCGUAGGCGGGAGAGCAAGUCAGAUGUGAAAUCCUAGGGCUUAACCCCAGAACUGCAUUUGAAACUGUUCAGCUAGAGUACAGGAGAGGUAGGUGGAAUUCUUAGUGUAGGGGUAAAAUGCAUAGAGAUCAGGAGGAAUACUCGUGGCGAAGGCGACCUACUGGAACAUAACUGACGCUGAUGCGCGAAAGCGUGGGGAGCAAACAGGAUUAGAUACCCGUGUAGUC
rnacentral:rRNA from 1 species